UACGAAGGGGGCUAGCGUUGCUCGGAAUCACUGGGCGUAAAGGGUGCGUAGGCGGGUCUUUUAAGUCAGGGGUGAAAUCCUGGAGCUCAACUCCAGAACUGCCUUUGAUACUGGGGAUCUCGAGUCCGGAAGAGGUGAGUGGAACUGCGAGUGUAGAGGUGAAAUUCGUAGAUAUUCGCAAGAACACCAGUGGCGAAGGCGGCUCACUGGUCCGGUACUGACGCUGAGGUGCGAAAGCGUGGGGAGCAAAGCAGG
rnacentral:rRNA from 1 species